GACGAACGCUGGCGGCAUGCCUAAUACAUGCAAGUCGAACGCUGAAGCACUCUGCUUGCAGAGUGCGGAUGAGUGGCGAACGGGUGAGUAACACGUGGGAAAUCUGCCUAUAAGAGGGGGAUAACAUUCGGAAACGGAUGCUAAUACCGCAUAUAUUCUUGGACCGCCUGGUCCUUGAAAGAAAGACGGCUUUGCUGUCGCUUAUAGAUGAUCCCGCGGCGUAUUAGUUAGUUGGUGGGGUAAAGGCCUACCAAGACAAUGAUACGUAGCCGACCUGAGAGGGUGAUCGGCCACACUGGGACUGAGACACGGCCCAGACUCCUACGGGAGGCAGCAGUAGGGAAUCUUCCACAAUGGGCGAAAGCCUGAUGGAGCAAUGCCGCGUGAAUGAAGAAGGUCUUCGGAUCGUAAAGUUCUGUUAUUAGAGAAGAACAAGUCAAGGAGUAACUGUCUUGACAUUGACGGUACCUAACCAGAAAGUCACGGCUAACUACGUG
rnacentral:rRNA from 1 species